GACGAACGCUGGCGGCGUGCUUAACACAUGCAAGUCGAACGGAAAGGCCCUGCUUUUGUGGGGUGCUCGAGUGGCGAACGGGUGAGUAACACGUGAGUAACCUGCCCUUGACUUUGGGAUAACUUCAGGAAACUGGGGCUAAUACCGGAUAGGAGCUCCUGCUGCAUGGGGGGGGUUGGAAAGUUUCGGCGGUUGGGGAUGGACUCGCGGCUUAUCAGCUUGUUGGUGGGGUAGUGGCUUACCAAGGCUUUGGCGGGUAGCCGGCCUGAGAGGGUGACCGGCCACCUUGGGACUGAGCUACGGCCCGGACUCCUACGGGAGACAGCAGUGGGGAAUAUUGCACGAUGGGCGGAAGCCUGAUGCAGCAACGCCGCGUGCGGGAUGACGGCCUUCGGGUUGUAAGCCGCUUUCGCCUGUGACGAAGCGUGAGUGACGGUAAUGGGUAAAGAAGCACCGGCUAACUACGUG
rnacentral:rRNA from 1 species